UUUUUUUUUUUUUUUUUUUUUUUUUGUCUUUUUGUCUUUUUGCCUUUUCUGGGGCCGCAACCCGCGGCAUAUGGAGGUUCCCAGGCUAGGGUCGAAUUGGAGCUGCGGCUGCCAAGCCUACGCCAGAGCCACAGCAACACGGGAUCCAAGCCUUGUCUGCAACCUACACCACAGCUCAUGGCAGCGCUGGAUCCUUAACCCACUGAGCAAGGCCAGGGAUCAAACCCGCAACCUCACGGUUCCUAUUCGGAUUCGUUAACCACUGAGCCACGACGGGAACUCCAAUGUGAAACUUUUUUAAGAGACUCCUGCCAGUUUUGCAACCCAGGAAUGUUUCCUCCAGGACCUUGGAGCCAUGUCAUUGAAAUAUAAUCCCUGGGGAAGACUGGACCCUUCUCCCAGGCUCUGUGGGAGGUAGAGGGGAAGAGCCUGACUUCACUGAGUGCACUGGUCCUUGCUGAGAAACUACCUCUUGGCAUGAAGAUAUGAGAAAAUUUACUUUUCCUUUUGUAAGAUCAGUUAGCAAAUACAGAUGGCCAAUGAUCCCUUACCCCCCACUCCAGCUCUUAAAAAACCCCCCUGCCUUUUGUUUCAGUGGAAUUGUAUGCAGACUAUGUUCAGGUUUCUCUCUCUCUCCUAUUGCAAUAGCCUUGAAUAAAGUUUUCCUUGGCUGACUCUGCCCAGCGUAAAUUUUGUUUUGACACUAUUCGCUGGCCCUCCCUAAGAAAGGACCAUGUCCCACCCCCACCCCACCGGCUCCAAGUUUGGCCCAUGAAUCUGCUCUGGUCAAUGAAAACUGAGCCGAAGGGACAUCCCAUCCCAGGCAAAAGCUCUGGUACUUUCAUCUGUGGUUGGUUCCAUAUCUUCUUUCUCAGACAGAGACUGAUCCAUCCACCUGAAUUUUCAAGUUCAGGCAACAGGAGCAUCAUCAUAGCUGACCCAUAUGUGUACAUGCAGCAUGAGCAAGAAAUACAUCUUGGCUGUUGUAAGCUACGAAGAUGUUGGUAUCACUUGUUACCAGAGCACAACCGGCAGUCUGGACCAGUUACAUACCCUUUUGACAUUUGGCACCACAAAAGAGAAGUUCUGGAAUGAGCCAACUGUCUCUGGGAAGCCUGCCCUCUGACAUUGCCUUCCAUCAGCUAGCAGUGAGCUUCAGAAGUCCUCCUGGAUGAAAUACUCCAGACAGAACACAGGGUAAACAGUAGGACUUUAAAAGCAGCAAAUGUAAUCCACCAAAAGAGGUAUGUAUGAAAGAGGGGCCAACUGGGGGCUCUGGACAAUCCCAGGUGAUUUUCAAGGAGGACUUUAUUCUGUGUUAUCGAAAUACUCUGCUUCCAUUCCCCCUAUACGAAUUUUGAAAAAAAGUACCCCCUUUAUAUAUUGUAACUUGUCAUCCCCCAAAUUUUCAUCAUAAGUUUAAAGUUUGCUGAUAGUAGAAGAUAUGAAAUAUUAAAUAUUUUAUAAGACAAAAUAAGAUGAGGAUCGACUCUGAAAUCAAUGUUUCAUGGCACGCUGUGAUAAAAUAGGUUUUAACUAUCACGGCACUGAAUUCAAAAGGAACCACAUGAAAUAUGUAUUUGCGGUUUUAUCCAAUGUACCUUUAAAACUUUAGUAGUCCUGGAAAACAUAGAUGUUAUUUUUAAAAGAACCAGCCCUACUAACCCAUAUUACAAGGCCCAGCUUAUCCUUAUCAGAAUUGUAUGUAAGAUCCAGAAAGGCAAGAAACCCACCAGGUUUAAGUUUCCUUGAUUAAUCAUUAAAAGAAGCCCUCCUCCAAAACAAAUAUUUCUAAUGAUUUUUUUUAAUGCAUAGGAGGUUUCUAAUGCUGGAGCAAACGUACUGUAUUAACACAUCAGAUGGCCUUUCUCUGUAAAGUGAGAGAAGAAAUGUGCAAAGCAGACACUUUCUCCCGCAGCUUUAGAAAAGAAUAAAUGAGGAAUCUGAGAAUCUUGAAAGUAGCAUGUUACUGCAAAUCCUUAAAACAACCCCUGCAUCAGUACCCUGGAAAGUGUGCCUGCCCCCGUUAACAAGAAUACGUUUUAAGCACGUAUGAAACACAGUUGGGAUGCAUGUGAUAAAGAAGCAGAUGGGUAGGCUAACUCUCCUGGGUGCUUUUGGUUUUAACAAAACAAGUCUGAGCAAAAGUCUCAUCCCAGCUGAAGUCACCUUUCCCCAAGACUGGGUGCCGGGGAGGGGGGGGUGCGUAGGGAGACAAAGCCUCGUGUGCUGGUAUCUGUAGAAGCUACAGGAAAGUACCAGGAACAGUUCCUGGGGCCCCAUGGAAGACUGAGAACUGUGUUUCCCAGCACUCAAAUUGUGUAUCUUAGAAUGCCAACAAGGCUAUAAAACGUUUUCCCAGUUUUAUACAUAUUUAAGAACUCAUGGGCAAUAUAUCUAAACUCUUCUCCUAAAAAGACCCCUGCCAGUGACUACACUUUUGAAUAAAGAACUGUCAACCCUGGCAGAUUCAGAUCUUCUGCUGAGAAGAAUUUACCACAACAGAGCAACCUAAGUACAUCAUGUCAUGCAGUAGUAGUUUAAUAAUGAUAUAUUCCAAGGCUGGGGGGGGAGGUUUUUUUAUUAAGCUAUGGAUACAUUAAAUAUCAUUCCAAAUUAAUCCUCUACUAUGAUUUCAAUGGUAUUUUCUGAACAGAACGCUAUAGGUCAACAUACCACCUGGAGAGGCACCCAAACAACAAACAAACAAACAAACAAACAGUGUACUGGUCUGAUUAAAAAGACAAAAACUGUCUCAGAGAGACUUACAUACCAAAUGCAUUGAAAUGGCACAGAAAACAGGAUUAUACUUAUCUGCCCACUGUCUCAUGAAAGUAGCAUGUUACUCCAAAGACAAAAGAGCAACUUUAUAAAAUCUAUCUCUCCUCCUUUCUUAAGAAUUGAGGACUACGAUGAUUCUAGCCUUGUUAGAAGUGUGAGGUCAAAUCCCUAAAUAAGGUUUUAUAUAUGUUAACAUCAGAUUUGGGGCAGGGAACCUCUUAUUUUAGUAAUUUCGUGGCUCUGAUGAUUUAAACAUUUCUUUUGGGAAGAGGGUGGGGUAGAACAAAAAAAGCCAUAUUACUGUGUAUAUGGUAAAACAUUAAUAAUAAUCAAACACAAUGGUUAAUUAACAUAUCAAACAUAAGCUAAACAGCAUAAUCCAAACAGAAAUAUGAAAAAAGAACUGCCAGAUAACAAAAUACACUGCCUUUCAUCUUCCCUGUAAUAAAUUUUUAAUGAGACAGACCUCUUUGUACCACAGUCAACUCUGAUUUAAUAAAGUUAAAUCACAUAGUUCAACAAUUGUAUAUCAAAUGGAAUUCUUCAUACCACAUUUUAUCGCAUUUUCCAUUACAUCAUGCAUUUGAAUUCCUUCAAGUACUACCUCUGUGAGUACUACCUGUCCUCUGAGCUUCCAGACUUAGUUUCUACUAUUGGAUAAGAAUGCCCACACAGUUAUUUAUUCCUGCAUUUCCAAACCAAAGGAAAAAAAAAUCCAGAACCAAAUUGAAAUACUUUCUUUUUCUUCCUAAACCCAGUCUAAUCAUCACCUAUUUCCUCCCUUAGGAUCCUCUUCAACUCUUCCAUCUUCACACCCUAUAUCCAAACAUUUGACAACUGUGCCAAGUUUCUCACAUAUUCACCCAUUCAAUACAAUUCAAUGUAUUCUUUUGUAUUCCCAUUACUCCACUUUUCCUCCUAUUUUGUCCUUGUACCUUCUGGACUUUCACUUUAUAAGAUGGAUGUUGGAAUUUAUGAGUCCAUCCUCAAAAGCUCUUAAAUUUUAAAUUUUCUAUCAUUUUCCCAUAUCUUUAUUGCUGCUGCAUGCCGGGAAAUUCCCUUAGGUUGCUCUAAAUCACUGGUUUACCAUUAAGCUGUGUCCAAGCUAUUAUGCCGUCUAUCAGAUAUGAUUUCACUUAAUAAUUGUAUCAUUUAUUUCUAAGAUCUGUAAAUGCCUAUUCUUAUUUUGCAACACUUGUUUUGGUUUUACAAAUGUGAAGACAUUCAUUGCCCUGAAGGUACUGAAUAUUUUCAUUUUAUAGUCCUUUUUAGACUAUUCAAUUAUCUCUAUUUCUGUAGGAGCAAAUCCUUCUGUGUAUGUUAAGCAAUUGUGAUCUCUCUCAGGAUGGCAUUCUUUCUCAGGUUAUGUCAUUUCCUACUGACUUUCCCCUUCAUGUGGGUGACUUUUCCCUCGUGAUCUUAUGCUGGACUUCAUCUACUCUCUUCCUUUAGAGAGUAAUCACUGGUUUUACAAUAUCUUCUCUUUUACAUAUUUCUCAGAGUUUUGUGUGGGAAGAGAAGAUUUCCAUAUAGGCUUUCUUCACCAGUCUUGAAUGAAAGGUCUCUUAUCCCUGGUCCAGGGAAUCUAGGCCAUAGCCCCUAAAUUCCUCUCUCCUCCUCAGCCUCUUAAAUCACACUGCAACCAGUGCUAUCCUUAUAGAUUCUGCUAAGGCUCUGAUCAUUGAGUUUCCUGUUAUUCUUUUAUCUAAAAAUGUAGUAAAGCAUGUUUUUAGAUCCUUCACUCUCCAGAGGAAAAAAACUCCAGAGUUAUUAGCAGCCACUAUAAAGGGUAAAUUUUAGCCCCAUCUCCUUUUCCAAUCUACUUCCUCACCUCAUCUUCUCAAAAUCACUCCCCUCUAGUCAUCCCAACUACUCAAAGAACCUAUGCAACUUUAUGCUUUCCUGCCUCUGCUGAAGCUCCCUUCACUUCCAUGCCCCGUUCACUUGCAAAGAUCCAGAUAAAAUCCUACUAUUCUAUGAAACCUUGCAUAUGGUUAUGCAUCCCAUCUUUCCAUAUUUCAAGCAGCAUGUAGCAUAUAAUAGGCACUAACAAUAUUAUUUAAAUGAAAGAUGGCAUGACCCUUGUUCCAGGGACUAGAAGCACUGUUUGGCAAAUACAUAUUCAUAAAAUUAAAUUCAAGGAAUUAAAGAAUUAAACUUAAAGGAAGUGAAGACAUUCAAACCAGGAUUCAGAAUCAUAGCAUCAGACUGUAGGAAAUGUCUGCUUCUGGAAAUUCUGAACCUCUACCAACCUCAAGUACCACCGCCCUUUCUAAAAAGUCUGCAGGGAUGGUCCCGUCCUCUGUGUUCUGUUGCAUGCUGCAUCCCUCUUUUACUGCACUUACCACCCAAAGUGCAACUGUCCGUCUACCCUGCUAGAAUACAUCCCCUCUGAGAGCAGAAAUCGGAUACAGUGUUUAUCAGAGAAUAAAUCAAAAGCUAUUGACUAAAUAAAUGCUUAAAUACCACAUUUUCCCUUGUUUGUCCUCAGAACAGUCCCAAGCUAUAAGGAAAGCUGCUAUUCUCAUUCUCCAAAAGAUAACCAGGGUAAAUGAAUGUUCAAUGAACUCUUCGUCCCCAGGGAAAGGAACCUGGCAGCAGAAUUCAGGCCUUCUUAAAAUUUAUCACCAACAUUUCUAAAUACUCCUACAUAAUAUGAAGCACCCAAGGUCAGGAAUAUAAGAAUGGGACAAUUUGGAGCUCUUUAAAUAAAGGAUGCUCCACUCACAAUAACAGUGAAUAAAACCAACCCUUAAAUAACCUCCAGAAUUCUGCUCUAAGAGCCUCUACCACAAAACUCAUGUUAUAAAGAAAGUCAGUAUCCACACAUUGAUCGACACAGCAGCAUCACUUCGAGGUGCCCAGGGCAACCGUAAUAAUUUAAGCUGUUCAGAAUGACUUUAAAAAGCUAUAAACAUCACCAGA
rnacentral:lncRNA from 1 species